rnacentral:rRNA from 1 species
UGGCGGACGGGUGAGUAACGCGUAGGAAUCUACCUAGUAGUGGGGGACAACUCGGGGAAACUCGAGCUAAUACCGCAUACGACCUAAGGGUGAAAGUGGGGGAUCUUCGGACCUCACGCUAUUAGAGGAGCCUGCGUUGGAUUAGCUUGUUGGUGGGGUAAUGGCCUACCAAGGCGACGAUCUAUAGCUGGUCUGAGAGGACGAUCAGCCACACUGGAACUGAGACACGGUCCAGACUUCUACGGAAGGCAGCAGUAGGGAAUCUUGGUCAAUGGGCGCAAGCCUGAACCAGCGAUGCCGCGUGUGCGAAGAAGGCCCUAGGGUUGUAAAGCACUUUCAGUCGCGAAGAAACUCUCAAGGUUAAUAACCUUGGGCAUUGACGUUAACGACAGAAGAAGCACCGGCUAACUCCGUGCCAGCAGCCGCGGUAAUACGGAGGGUGCGAACGUUAAUCGGAAUUACUGGGCGUAAAGCGCGCGUAGGCGGUUUGUUAAGUGGGAUGUGAAAGCCCUGNGCU